rnacentral:rRNA from 1 species
GAUGAACGCUGGCGGCGUGCCUAAUACAUGCAAGUAGAACGCUGAAGGAAGGAGCUUGCUCUUUCCGGAUGAGUUGCGAACGGGUGAGUAACGCGUAGGUAACCUGCCUGGUAGCGGGGGAUAACUAUUGGAAACGAUAGCUAAUACCGCAUAACAGUAGAUGUUGCAUGAUAUCUACUUAAAAGGUGCAAUUGCACCACUACCAGAUGGACCUGCGUUGUAUUAGCUAGUUGGUGAGGUAACGGCUCACCAAGGCGACGAUACAUAGCCGACCUGAGAGGGUGAGCGGCCACACUGGGACUGAGCCACGGCCCAGACUCCUACGGGAGGCAGCAGUAGGGAAUCUUCGGCAAUAGACGGAAGUCUGACCGAGCAACGCCGCGUGAGUGAAGAAGGUUUUCGGAUCGUAAAGCUCUGUUGUAAGAGAAGAACGAGUGUGAGAGUGGAAAGUUCACACUGUGACGGUAUCUUACCAGAAAGGGACGGCUAACUACGUG